GUUCCUGCUCCGGCUCCUGCGGGGAUGGAUGCUUCACGCAGUAAGCGAGUAAGCGAGCCCUGGAGACCGGGGCCCUGGGUGUGCGGUCGGCUCAGUGCCACGCGGUGAGAUAGGCAUGGUUAUCAACCCACGCCAAGGCGGUUGUGUACCUGGCAUAGAAAACACUGCUGUUGAAUGUUGUUUCCAUAGUCAUUCGCCAGCGUCCACUGAUGAGAGGUGCCACCACGGACACCCGGCCUUGCUCCGUCGAAGCUUUGGUCCAUUAGGACCAAAGUCAGGCCCCAGCGGGCCUCCCUGCCAUUCCUGGACGGCCUCGCGUCCUCCCAGAGCCUGACCUUCUCUUAUCUCUGCAGCCUAAGUCGCGGAAGCGUAGACACCCGGCUUUUCCCGCGUGCUCUAUCGGGCUCCCCUGGACACGGAGGGUGGAGCAGAAAGAGCAGAGGGGCCGGUGGGAGCCAUGGGGAGUCCGCCUAGCUCCAGAGGACACCUUACCUGGAUCCGCCUUUGUAGCCUCCUCCUGGCUCUGGGGGCUGUCCUGUGGGGUCCGAGUAGCUGAAAGACAGCCCCUCCAUGAAAGUGCUGCUUUCAACAUCUGCCACAUUUGCAAGAAGAGCAAAGGUGGCCCAUUUGAGACCACCCUUGAACUAAACCAUCCAGUGAGCCCCUGAGGUCGGGACAGAAGUGGCCAUGACCUUCCUCAAGCAGGGACUGUGGUGGAGCCCACCUUAUCCAGCACAAGGUGGCCUGCUGACUUCUGGUGACAGUGAUGCCAACUUCCUGGCUGUCCAAGAAGCUGACAAGUACCUGCCGGAAAAACUGCCUCUUUUCCCUCCCGUGCUUGGAGCAGGCAUUGCUGACAGAUCACAGCUGCUGGGCCCAAAGGUCCCUUUGCACGCGGGACUUCAGGAAGUUGCUGCUGACCUAUGGGAGUUGGUGCAGAAAGAUGAAAUUUGUUAUCCUUGGCUGUAUCAACUCUCUCUCCUCUCCUUGGUGGUGAUAGUUUUGUUCUUAAAAGCCUCUUGUGAGAGAAUUUGUGGAUGAAGAACCUGUAAGAUCACAAGUGAAACAAUUUAUUGAUGUCAAUAGAUUUAUACACGUUCAUUAAGAAUCAAAACUAAACUAAAACAUCAGUCUGACUAAAGAGACCACCACAGAUAUUUCAUAUGCUGUACAUCAGUAACAAAGGGUACCAAAUAGUUAAUAUCCAUGUACUAGUCACAUGAGAAAUGUUUUAGGGUCAUUGACCAGUGUAGUCAGUACAGUGGUCCCAUGGUAUUUGUGGGGGAUUGGUUCCAGGAAUCUCUUGGACACCAACUCCGUGGAUGAUCAGACAAUAUAAAAUGUGGGUCAGGUGCGGUGGCUCAUACCUGUAAUCCCAGCAUUUUGCGAGAAUCACUUGAGGCCAGUUCAAGAUCAGCCUGUGCAACAUAGCAAGACUCCACCUCUAAAAAAAAAAAAAAAAAAAAAAA
rnacentral:lncRNA from 1 species